rnacentral:rRNA from 1 species
AUUGAACGCUGGCGGCAGGCUUAACACAUGCAAGUCGAGCGAGCGGCGGACGGGUGAGUAAUGUCUGGGCAACUGCCUGAUGGAGGGGGAUAACUACUGGAAACGGUAGCUAAUACCGCAUACCAUCAGAUGUGCCCAGAUGGGAUUAGCUAGUGGGGGGGGUAAUGGCUCACCUAGGCGACGAUCCCUAGCUGGUCUGAGAGGAUGACCAGCCACACGGGAACUGAGAAACGGUCCAGACUCCUACGGGAGGCAGCAGGGGGGAAUAUUGGACAAUGGGCGCAAGCCUGAUGCAGCAAUGCCGCGUGGGUGAAGAAGGCCUUCGGGUUGUAAAGCACUUUAAGCGAGGAGGCGUUACUCGAAGAAGAAGCAACGGCUAACUCCGUGCCAGCAGCCGCGGUAAUAC